GGAAGAAGAGUUUAUUCAGAUAGAUUUGUCCUUCUUCGGACAAAUCUAUCUGAAUAAACUCUUCUUCGCUGGAGCAGCCCCCGAUUUGUGGGGUGAUUACAGC
rnacentral:misc_RNA from 1 species